rnacentral:rRNA from 1 species
UUGUAUUGUAACCUGAACAUGCCCGAUCUCGUCUGAUCUCAGAAACUAAGCAGAGUUGGGCCUCAUUAGUACUUGGGUGGGAGACCACCCAGGAAGACCAGGUGCUGUACACU